rnacentral:misc_RNA from 1 species
GAUGAAGAACGUAGUGAAAUGCGAUAAGUAAUGCGAAUUGCAGAAUUCAGUGAGUCAUCGAAUCUUUGAACGCACAUUGCGCCCUGUGGUAUUCCGCAGGGCAUGCCUGUUCGAGCGUCAUUUCAACCCUCAAGCUCUGCUUGGUGUUGGGCCCUGCCCGCUGCGGCCGGCCCUAAAGACAGUGGCGGUGCCGCCUGGCCCUGAGCGUAGUACAUCUCUCGCUCCAGUGCCCGGUGGUAGCCUGCCAGAACCCCAACUCUCGUGGUUGAACUCGGAUCAGGUAGGGAUACCCGCUGAACUUAAGCAUAUCAAUAAGCGGAGGA